rnacentral:sRNA from 1 species
GGAAGGUGGGACGACGUCAAGUCAUCAUGCCCCUUAUGUCCAGGGCUGCACGCAUGCUACAAUGGCAAGUACAACGAGUCGCAAUACCGCGAGGUGGAGCAAAUCUCUUAAAGCUUGUCUCAGUUCGGAUAGGAGUCUGCAACUCGACUCCUUGAAGUUGGAGUCGCUAGUAAUCGCAAAUCAGCAAAGUUGCGGUGAAUACGUUCUCGGGGUUUGUACACACCGCCCGUCAAGUCACGGAAGUCGGCAAUACCCGAAGCCAGUGGUCCAACCCUUUUGGGAGGAAGCUGUCGAAGGUAGGGUCGGUAACUGGGACUAAGUCGUAACAAGGUAGCCGUACGGGAACGUGCGGCUGGAUCACCUCCUUUCUAAGGAGCAUAGAACUUCGGUUCUAAGGUCAAUCGUCGGUUGUCUACAAGACUGAUACAUUACUCAGCUGUGAGAAAGUCAAAUUGGCUUUUUGAAAAUUGUAUAGCAAGCGCAAUUGCAAAGUAUUCAUAUAGUUCAAGCUACUAAGGGCUAUUGGUGGAUGCCUUGGCGCUGGAAGCCGAUGAAGGACGUGGAAGACUGCGAAAAGCUACGGGAAG